rnacentral:rRNA from 1 species
CCAAUAGCGUAUAUUAAAGUUGUUGCAGUUAAAAAGCUCGUAGUUGAAUUUCGGGAUCAGUACGUCGGUCGUGCCUUGGUACGUACUGGCGUCGCUGAUUCCUCCCUUCUGACGAACCGUGAUGCCAUUAAUUUGGUGUUGCGGGGAAUCAGGACUGUUACUUUGAAAAAAUUAGAGUGUUUAAAGCGGGCACGCGCUUGAAUACAUUAGCAUGGAAUAACGAAAUAGGACGUUCGAUCUUAUUUUGUUGGUUUCUAGGAUUGACGUAAUGAUUAAUAGGGAUAGUUGGGGGCAUUAGUAUUCAAUUGUCAGAGGUGAAAUUCUUGGAUUUAUUGAAGACUAACUACUGCGAAAGCAUUUGCCAAGGAUGUUUUCAUUAAUCAAGAACGAAAGUUAGGGGAUCGAAGACGAUCAGAUACCGUCGUAGUCUUAACCAUAAACUAUGCCGACUAGGGAUCGGAUGAUGUUAAUUUUUUAAUGACUCAUUCGGCGCCUUACG